UUUAGACUUAAGAGCUAUUCAAAUAAGGCACAGCUUAUUUGAAAUAGGACACAACCUACAACAUAGGGUAAAUGAGAGUGACCUAAAUAAAGUGGGCCUAAAAGCAGCCACCUUCAGAAAAGCGUUAAAGCUUAACUACCUUCACUCAUAAUGCCUAAAAUCUCCACUAACCCUUCAUUACUACUGAACAAUUUUAUACUCAUAUAAAAGCUAUCAUGCUAGAACUAGUAACAAGAAACUGCUUUUCUCCUAAAUGUAAACAUAAACCAAAAUAGACCAUCUAUUGGUUAUUAACGUAAAUGCUAAACUGUAGCAACACUCACUAGAAAAUCCUAUAAACCCCAACGUUAACCUUACACCAGAACAUUACAGGAAAGAUUAAAAGAAAAAGAAGGAACUCGGCAAAUUUUAGCCUCGCCUGUUUACCAAAAACAUCGCCUCUUGACAAACAUAAGAGGUCCAGCCUGCCCAGUGACAAAGUUCAACGGCCGCGGUACCCUAACCGUGCAAAGGUAGCACAAUCACUUGUUCUUUAAAUGAGGACUCGUAUCAACGGCACUACGAGGGCUAUACUGUCUCCUUUUUCUAAUCAGUGAAACUGAUCUCCCCGUGAAGAAGCGGGGAUUGUAAUAUAAGACGAGAAGACCCCAUGGAGCUUUAAACUCACCAUGUACCCCUGUGCUCCCAUACCCCCAGACACAACAGACCUACAUGUUAGUUUUAGGUUGGGGUGACCACGGAGUAUAACUUAACCUCCAUAGCAAAUGGGCUAAUACCCUUAUCCACGAGACACAACUCUAAGAAUUACUAAACUAAUGCUUACGACCCGAUAUUCGAUCCAUGAACCAAGUUACCCUGGGGAUAACAGCGCAAUCUACUUCAAGAGCCCAUAUCGACAAGUAGGUUUACGACCUCGAUGUUGGAUCAGGGUAUCCCGGUGGUGCAGCCG
rnacentral:rRNA from 1 species